rnacentral:rRNA from 1 species
GACGAACGCUGGCGGCGUGCUUAACACAUGCAAGUCGAGCGGUAAGGCCCUUUCGGGGGUACACGAGCGGCGAACGGGUGAGUAACACGUGGGUGACCUGCCUUUAGCUCUGGGAUAAGCCUGGGAAACCGGGUCUAAUACCGGAUAUGACUCCGCGGCGCAUGUUGUGGGGUGGAAAGCCUUGUGCGGCUGGAGAUGGGCCCGCGGCCUAUCAGCUUGUUGGUGGGGUGAUGGCCUACCAAGGCGACGACGGGUAGCCGGCCUCGAGAGGGCGACCGGCCACACUGGGACUGAGACACGGCCCAGACUCCUACGGGAGGCAGCAGUGGGGAAUCUUGCGCAAUGGGCGAAAGCCUGACGCAGCGACGCCGCGUGAGGGAUGACGGCC